ACGGGUGAGUAAUGUCUGGGGAUCUGCCCGAUAGAGGGGGAUAACCACUGGAAACGGUGGCUAAUACCGCAUAACGUCGCAAGACCAAAGAGGGGGACCUUCGGGCCUCUCACUAUCGGAUGAACCCAGAUGGGAUUAGCUAGUAGGCGGGGUAACGGCCCACCUAGGCGACGAUCCCUAGCUGGUCUGAGAGGAUGACCAGCCACACUGGAACUGAGACACGGUCCAGACUCCUACGGGAGGCAGCAGUGGGGAAUAUUGCACAAUGGGCGCAAGCCUGAUGCAGCCAUGCCGCGUGUAUGAAGAAGGCCUUCGGGUUGUAAAGUACUUUCAGCGGGGAGGAAGGCGAUAAGGUUAAUAACCUUGUCGAUUGACGUUACCCGCAGAAGAAGCACCGGCUAACUCCGUGCCAGCAGCCGCGGUAAUACGGAGGGUGCAAGCGUUAAUCGGAAUUACUGGGCGUAAAGCGCACGCAGGCGGUCUGUUAAGUCAGAUGUGAAAUCCCCGGGCUUAACCUGGGAACUGCAUUUGAAACUGGCAGGCUUGAGUCUCGUAGAGGGGGGUAGAAUUCCAGGUGUAGCG
rnacentral:rRNA from 1 species